AGCUGCAGAGGCCACCAGAGGAGAGUGAAAAGUGCCACCUAAGGACCCUGCACACCUUUCCCUGUGAUGCUAAUGAGCCCCUGCUCGGGCUUCCGGACCCCUGCCUCGCCCUCAGUUCCUCUGCCACGGGCCUUGAGACUCAUGGUCGCUCCCCGGAGGAAGGGCGCUCUCUGGGAUUCGGCCGCUCGCCAGGCCCCUCCCGGCCCGGGUGCAGAGCCGGCCAGCAGAGGGCGCUCCAGGCGCGCAUCCCGGCUCCGCGUCCGCAGCCUGGUGGGCUGGGCGUCUCCGGACGGAAUCCUCCCUGGGGUGCCUCAGUUUCCACAACGCAGCCAGCCGCUCUCCGCCCCCGCAGCCACACAGCAUGGGGCUCCCCGCCAUGCAGAGGGUACCAGCACAGGGUGGUCUCUCCACGUCUCAGGCACCCUUGCCAUUACGCCAUUUGUCAUAAGGGGGCAGAGUGCAGAGGGGGCUUGCAAAGCUGCUGCCAAGCUGUUUGGACUUCCAGUCUCUAAAAUCAUGAGUAUGGCUUUCAACGGCAAGUUCCAGGCGGAGAGUGAGAAGAAUUACGACGAGUUCAUGAAGCGCCUCGGUCUCCCCAGCGACGUGCUCGAGAAGGGUCGAAACGCCAAGAUCAUCACGGAGGUGCAGCAGGAUGGGCAGGACUUCACCUGGUCGCAGUCCUACUCCAAGGGCCACCUCUUCACCAACAAGUUCACCAUUGGCAAGGAGAGCGACCUAGUUUCCCUGGGGGGCAAGAACUUCAAGGGCACCGUGAAGAUGGAAGGCGGGAAGCUAUCGAUCGAAUUUCCCAACUAUCGCCAGACCUCGGAGAUUGUGGGCGACAAGCUGGUGGAGAACAGCACCAGCCUCUCGCCACCCACCAAGCCAGGACCCCAUGAACUCCACUGCUUUGCCAAGACUUAGUGCUAAUUAAGUGAACUAGAUACAGACGCUGAGGCUCAGAGAGGGGCAGAAGUUCACCCAAGGUCACACAGCGGACAGUGAUCAAGGAGGCUGAGAGUAAUGUGGACCGACCCAGGCUUCAUGCCCCCAGCUGAGGCCAGAGUUUCUGAAGUCAAUGGAAUAAGGACCAAUUGGCGAGAUGGUAUUACGGUUACAGUGCAGUCAUGGAGCCAUAUUCCCGGUUCAAAUCCUAGCAAUGAUGUGAGCUAAAUUUCCAGUCUCUGGCCUACAGCAAGCCUGGAUAGAUCACGCACGAAUGCACGGAUGGAUGGAUGGAUGGAAGGAUAAAAGCAAGUACAUUCCGACAGGUAGAAUCAAUCCCCAAGACCCAUUUUGGAAACAUUGUUCAAGGUGAGGUUGUGGGUGGCUGUUUUCUUCAGGAGGAAGCUGUGGAAACGCGCCAGGGCCAGAGGUGGCAUUUAGCUAGCUGGGUCACACUUGGGCGUCCUUUCUCGAUGUGAGGACUUCCCUGUCUGAGGAUGAAAGAACUGGUGUGAUGAUUUCACUCAGCAGCCUCAGUCAAGCCCUGCCUCUUUUAUGCUCUGCUCUGUAGGAGACCUGAACUGGGGCUGUGGGACAGGAGCCGUGUGUCACAUGCAUGGCUGGCACUGGGGCCAGGGUGGGAGCAAACGCUUCCUGUGGUGGAGUGGAGCCUUCUCCUGCCCUGAGUCUUGGUCACGCUGUGCAGAAUGCUCACAGCUGUCCACCAUGGUGGCUCUGGACCAGGGCUGCAGCU